GCCGGUAUGGCGGAGUGGUUAUCGCAAUCGACUGUCAAUCGAUGUCCUUCGGGACGCGAGGGUUCGAGUCCCUCUGCCGGCG
rnacentral:tRNA from 1 species